UAAGUUAUUUUCUUAAUAAGUUUAUUAUCUUAAUCUAUUAUUUACGAAACUGCAGGAUAAAUUUGACUUGGAUUUGAGUGUUCCGCAUAUCUCCCAUGCCGUCGACGACAUGAUGAAGGAGUGGUUUAAGGAUUACCGCACUAAGUUACACCGAUAAUACAAGCGGUGCAUGAGCCACAAGGAGGCCGUACAGUCCGCAUCGCUGCACGUGAUCGAUGAGGACUGGCAGAUACUCUGCGAUAGAUUUUCGUCUGAUUCUUUUCAGAAGAGGAGCAAAAUAAAUUCUGACAAUAGAGGAAAGUUAGAAGUGAACCACGUAGUUGAUUCAAAGUUAUUUGUACGACUUCGUCACGACAUGCGAGAUUCCAUCACUGGCUAGGAGCCCGGACCAGUAGACUUCUACAAAGGGACUCACUGUCGGCAGGCGACAGGAUCUUGGGUACAUCCUAGAGCCAGCGAGAUUUGGGUAAAGAU